rnacentral:rRNA from 1 species
GACAGAGGGUGCAAACGUUGUUCGGAAUUACUGGGCGUAAAGCGCGUGUAGGCGGCUAUGUAAGUCGGGCGUGAAAUCCCACGGCUCAACCGUGGAAGUGCACCCGAAACUGCGUAGCUAGAGUCCUGGAGAGGAAGGUGGAAUGCUUGGUGUAGAGGUGAAAUUCGUAGAUAUCAAGCGGAACACCGGUGGCGAAGGCGGCCUUCUGGACAGUGACUGACGCUGAGACGCGAAAGCGGUGGGGAGCAAACAGG